rnacentral:lncRNA from 1 species
CAACGCCGCCUCCACGGCCUGCAACGCCUGUAGCAGAUUUAUCUUCCCGAGGUUGUCGCCCUCGCCCCUCCGCCGGCUGUGGAACAGCCUCAUCGCGGCGUCCUGCACCCGAGGCCCCCCGUUAGGGUCCGCCUCCACCCCCAGGAUCCACGGCACCGUCCGCUUCAGGUCCUUGCAGGAGCUCGUCACCUGGAGCAGCGCCGUCGAGCGGAGGCAGAGCGCCUCCGAGCCGGAGGUGGCCUUGAUGCCCAGCUGGCUCUUCAGCCGGAGGAAGUCGUCCGGGUCCAUCAGAAGGUGGAGGUCCUCCACCUCCGACAGCAGCUUCCACACGCGUUCGAGCAGCCAGCAAUCGCUCCCGGCCUGCACCCAGUCUUUGGCGUCCAUCCUCUGCUCGAUCCGAGCCAAGAGCUCGCGGGCGGCGAAGAGCCACGACUCGAGGAUCUGUUGGAUCGUGCAGAGCGCCUGGUCUUCGUGGUCCUUGGCGUCCUUCGAUCCGCCGGGGCUCCUCUUCAGGGCGUGGAGGUCGGACGGGCGGACGACGAGAUCGUACUCGAUCGUGGGCUUCCCUGCGAGGUUGGGCUCGCCCAACCCCAGAGUGAACCGGCACCGCUGCAUCUGGCUCUCGAUCUGGAACAGGAUCUUGGAGGCCACGUCCUCCGACUUCUCCCACGUCGCCAGCCGCGGCAGCAGGCUCUUCUCGCUCGUGCGGCUCACCACGCUGGUCGUGCCGGGAACCUUCCACACCUCCUGCGAGCUCUUGUCCCGUGACAGAAGGCCCUUGCACGAGCUGAGGUCGGCGAUGGGGGCGCCGCCAUCCUCCUCGCACAAGGUAGCGAUGAGCUCGACCUGGCGUGCGGCGAGGGACUCCAGCCUCCGCUUCCAUUCCCGGUGGUUCGCGUAGGGCCGGGGGUCGGACAGGGCGAGCGAGAUGAACCGGAAGGUGAUCUCCAGGCCCUGCAGGGCCGGCUUGAGUAUGGACUCGUCGGCCCACUGGGGGAAGUCCUUGGAGCUCCAAAGCUUGGCCAGCUCGGGGAGGCGGAGGUAGUGCUCAUAAGCGACGAUGGCGGAGGCGUCAUGUCCCCGAGGAGCAGCAGCCGACUUCGAGGGGAACGGCUUUGGAUUGGAAG